AUAUGUCUUUUUCUCCCCUGCUUUGCCUCCACCAUGCAGGAAUAAACCCAGUCUGCAGACCACCAGAUGAUGCUGUGUUUGACAUCAUCACCGAUGAGGAACUGUGCCAGAUCCAAGAAUCUGGCUCCUCCUUGCCUGAAACACCCACCGAAACUGAUUCGAUGGACCCAAAUAUGGCUGAACAGGACACCACAUCAAACUCAUUAACCCCUGAAGACACUGAAGACAUGCCCCUGGGGCAGGAUGCUGAAAUCUGCUUGCUGAAGUCAGGAGAGCUGAUGAUCAAAUUACCCCUCACAGUAGAGGAGAUCGCCAGCUUUGGGGAGGGAAACAGGGAGCUGUUUGUGAGGUCCAGUACCUACAGCCUGAUCCCCAUCACCGUGGCUGAGCCCGGCCUUACCAUCAGCUGGG
rnacentral:lncRNA from 1 species